AUGCCAGACUCCUACGGGAGGCAGCAGUGGGGAAUAUUGGGCAAUGGGCGCAAGCCUGACCCAGCAACGCCGCGUGAAGGAAGAAGGCUUUCGGGUUGUAAGCUUCUUUUGUCAGGGACGAAGCAAGUGACGGUACCUGACGAAUAAGCCACGGCUAACUACGUGCCAGCAGCCGCGGUAAUACGUAGGUGGCAAGCGUUAUCCGGAUUUAUUGGGUGUAAAGGGCGUGUAGGCGGGAAUGCAAGUCAGAUGUGAAAACUAUGGGCUCAACCCAUAGCCUGCAUUUGAAACUGUGUUUCUUGAGUGCUGGAGAGGCAAUCGGAAUUCCGUGUGUAGCGGUGAAAUGCGUAGAUAUACGGAGGAACACCAGUGGCGAAGGCGGAUUGCUGGACAGUAACUGACGCUGAGGCGCGAAAGCGUGGGGAGCAAACAGGAUUAGAUACCCGAGUA
rnacentral:rRNA from 1 species